AGCGAACGCUGGCGGCAGGCUUAACACAUGCAAGUCGAACGCAUCACUUCGGUGGUGAGUGGCAGACGGGUGAGUAACACGUGGGAACGUACCCUUCGAUCUGGGAUAACUUCGGGAAACUGGAGCUAAUACCGGAUACGCCCUUUUGGGGAAAGGUUUACUGUCGAAGGAUCGGCCCGCGUCUGAUUAGCUAGUUGGUGGGGUAACGGCCUACCAAGGCGACGAUCAGUAGCUGGUCUGAGAGGAUGAUCAGCCACACUGGGACUGAGACACGGCCCAGACUCCUACGGGAGGCAGCAGUGGGGAAUAUUGGACAAUGGGCGCAAGCCUGAUCCAGCCAUGCCGCGUGAGUGAUGAAGGUCUUAGGGUUGUAAAGCUCUUUUGUCCGGGACGAUAAUGACGGUACCGGAAGAAUAAGCCCCGGCUAACUUCGUG
rnacentral:rRNA from 1 species